rnacentral:rRNA from 1 species
AGUGAACGCUGGCGGUAGGCCUAACACAUGCAAGUCGAACGGCAGCACAGUAAGAGCUUGCUCUUACGGGUGGCGAGUGGCGGACGGGUGAGGAAUACAUCGGAAUCUACUUUUUCGUGGGGGAUAACGUAGGGAAACUUACGCUAAUACCGCAUACGACCUACGGGUGAAAGCAGGGGAUCUUCGGACCUUGCGCGAUUGAAUGAGCCGAUGUCGGAUUAGCGAGUUGGCGGGGUAAAGGCCCACCAAGGCGACGAUCCGUAGCUGGUCUGAGAGGAUGAUCAGCCACACUGGCACUGAGACACGGUCCAGACUCCUACGGGAGGCAGCAGUGGGGAAUAUUUGACAAUGGGCGCAAGCCUGAUCCAGCCAUACCGCGUGGGUGAAGAAGGCCUUCGGGUUGUAAAGCCCUUUUGUUGGGCAAGAAAAGCAGCAGGUUAAUACCCCGCUGUUCUGACGGUACCCAAAGAAUAAGCACCGGCUCACUUCGUGC